rnacentral:rRNA from 3 species
GAGGACCGAACCGACUAAUGUUGAAAAAUUAGCGGAUGACCUGUGGCUGGGGGUGAAAGGCCAAUCAAACCGGGAGAUAGCUGGUUCUCCCCGAAAGCUAUUUAGGUAGCGCCUCGUGAAUUCAUCUCCGGGGGUAGAGCACUGUUUCGGCUAGGGGGCCAUCCCGGCUUACCAACCCGAUGCAAACUGCGAAUACCGGAGAAUGUUAUCACGGGAGACACACGGCGGGUGCUAACGUCCGUCGUGAAGAGGGAAACAACCCAGACCGCCAGCUAAGGUCCCAAAGUCAUGGUUAAGUGGGAAACGAUGUGGGAAGGCCCAGACAGCCAGGAUGUUGGCUUAGAAGCAGCCAUCAUUUAAAGAAAGCGUAAUAGCUCACUGGUCGAGUCGGCCUGCGCGGAAGAUGUAACGGGGCUAAACCAUGCACCGAAGCUGCGGCAGCGACACUGUGUGUUGUUGGGUAGGGGAGCGUUCUGUAAGCCUGUGAAGGUGUGUCGUGAGGCAUGCUGGAGGUAUCAGAAGUGCGAAUGCUGACAUAAGUAACGAUAAAGCGGGUGAAAAGCCCGCUCGCCGGAAGACCAAGGGUUCCUGUCCAACGUUAAUCGGGGCAGGGUGAGUCGACCCCUAAGGCGAGGCCGAAAGGCGUAGUCGAUGGGAAACGGGUUAAUAUUCCCGUACUUGGUGUUACUGCGAAGGGGGGACGGAGAAGGCUAUGUUGGCCGGGCGACGGUUGUCCCGGUUUAAGCGUGUAGGUGUGUGUUCCAGGUAAAUCCGGUUCACUUUAACACUGAGGCGUGACGACGAGGCACUACGGUGCUGAAGCAACAAAUGCCCUGCUUCCAGGAAAAGCCUCUAAGCAUCAGGUAACAUCAAAUCGUACCCCAAACCGACACAGGUGGUCAGGUAGAGAAUACCAAGGCGCUUGAGAGAACUCGGGUGAAGGAACUAGGCAAAAUGGUGCCGUAACUUCGGGAGAAGGCACGCUGACACGUAGGUGAAGUGAUUUACUCAUGGAGCUGAAGUCAGUCGAAGAUACCAGCUGGCUGCAACUGUUUAUUAAAAACACAGCACUGUGCAAACACGAAAGUGGACGUAUACGGUGUGACGCCUGCCCGGUGCCGGAAGGUUAAUUGAUGGGGUCAGCGCAAGCGAAGCUCCUGAUCGAAGCCCCGGUAAACGGCGGCCGUAACUAUAACGGUCCUAAGGUAGCGAAAUUCCUUGUCGGGUAAGUUCCGACCUGCACGAAUGGCGUAAUGAUGGCCAGGCUGUCUCCACCCGAGACUCAGUGAAAUUGAACUCGCUGUGAAGAUGCAGUGUACCCGCGGCAAGACGGAAAGACCCCGUGAACCUUUACUAUAGCUUGACACUGAACAUUGAGCCUUGAUGUGUAGGAUAGGUGGGAGGCUUUGAAGUGUGGACGCCAGUCUGCAUGGAGCCGACCUUGAAAUACCACCCUUUAAUGUUUGAUGUUCUAACGUGGACCCGUUACCCGGGUUGCGGACAGUGUCUGGUGGGUAGUUUGACUGGGGCGGUCUCCUCCUAAAGAGUAACGGAGGAGCACGAAGGUUGGCUAAUCCUGGUCGGACAUCAGGAGGUUAGUGCAAUGGCAUAAGCCAGCUUGACUGCGAGCGUGACGGCGCGAGCAGGUGCGAAAGCAGGUCAUAGUGAUCCGGUGGUUCUGAAUGGAAGGGCCAUCGCUCAACGGAUAAAAGGUACUCCGGGGAUAACAGGCUGAUACCGCCCAAGAGUUCAUAUCGACGGCGGUGUUUGGCACCUCGAUGUCGGCUCAUCACAUCCUGGGGCUGAAGUAGGUCCCAAGGGUAUGGCUGUUCGCCAUUUAAAGUGGUACGCGAGCUGGGUUUAGAACGUCGUGAGACAGUUCGGUCCCUAUCUGCCGUGGGCGCUGGAGAACUGAGGGGGGCUGCUCCUAGUACGAGAGGACCGGAGUGGACGCAUCACUGGUGUUCGGGUUGUCAUGCCAAUGGCACUGCCCGGUAGCUAAAUGCGGAAGAGAUAAGUGCUGAAAGCAUCUAAGCACGAAACUUGCCCCGAG